rnacentral:rRNA from 1 species
AUACGAAAGGGGCUAGCGUUGUUGGGAAUUACUGGGCGUAAAGCGCACGUAGGCGGCAUUGUAAGUUGGGGGUGAAAUCCCGGAGCUCAACUCCGGAACUGCCUCCAAAACUACAGAGCUCGAGGAUGUGAGAGGAGAGUGGAAUUCCAAGUGUAGAGGUGAAAUUCGUAGAUAUUUGGAAGAACACCAGUGGCGAAGGCGACUCUCUGGCACAUUUCUGACGCUGAGGUGCGAAAGCGUGGGGAGCAAACAGGAUUAGAAACCCCAGUAGUCC